GGGAGCGUGGCUCAGUGGCAGAGUGUCUGCUUGCCAUGCAGAAGGUCCCAGGUUCAAUCCCCGGCAUCUCCA
rnacentral:tRNA from 1 species